GUCACUGUAGCGUAAUGGAUAGCGCGUUGGACUUUAAAUCCAAAGGUCGUGGUUUCGAAUACCGCCUGAGAUG
rnacentral:tRNA from 1 species